AGAAACUUGAAGCUCACCGCUGAGGUCACAUGCAGCUUGCUUGUCACUCACUGGCUAAUGCCUCUGGGAAGGUGUGAGACAAGAGACGCUGGCUGCCCUAGAUGGGCAUCACCUGCUGCAGGUGGAUGAGUUACCAGCCUAUAAUUUAACAUAGUGCAUUUAAUAGACUAAACCUGAAUUUUCCCACUCU
rnacentral:lncRNA from 1 species